UGUGUUAAUUUCUGCUGUACUGCAAAGUGAUUCAAUUACACACCACACACAUAUAUACAUUUAAAGAAUAUUCUUUUUCUUUAGGGUUUAUCACAGGGUAUUGAAUAUAGUUCCCUGCACUAUACAGUAGGACCUUGCUGUUUAUUCAUUCUAUAUGUAAUAGUUUUCAUCUGCUAAUCCCAAACUCCCAAUCUAUCCCUUCUCCACCUCCUCUCUCCCUACUUGGCAACCACAAGUCUGUUCUCUAUGUCUGUGACUCUUUCUGUUUCACAGAUAAGUUCAUUUGUGCCAUAUUUUAGAUUCCAUAUGUAAGUGAUACAUAUGGUAUUUGUCUUUAUCUUUCUGAUUUACUUCAUUUAGUAUGAUAAUCUCUAGGUCUAUCCUUGUUGCUGCAAAUGGCAUUAUUUCAUUCUUUUUUAGGGCUGAGUACUAUUCCAUUGUGUAUACGAACUAUAUCAUCUUUAUCAAUUCAUCCGUCAAUGGACACUUAUGUUGUUUCCAUGUCUUGCUAUUUCUAUUGGAUGUUCUUAAGCCUGUUUUUUGAUUUGCGAAGGAAAAUAAUCAAUUGAAGACAUAUUAGCAGAGACUAGAUAUAUAUUAUCAAAGAUUGUAUCUAAAAAUGCAGGUACAAUUGCAUAGUGUUAUACCACGUUUUAUUACCUAGGAACAGAUGGGCCCUGUUGAUGAUAUAUUUGUCGUUUGACUUUUGACAUUAGUCACAUUUUCAGAAAUGAAUUUCUAUAUGGAAAUAGGGGCCUGUGCAUGCUCUCAUGGAGAAAGCAAAAAAAAACCUUUUUCUUUCAGGCUAGUUCACCAGACGAGGAAUAAUUCAGUUUCUAAGGAAUAAUUCAGUUUAUUCCUUAGAAUAAAGAGACAGCACAAAUUAUUUGGAUCACUGGAAAAUUCUAACACUCACGAAAAAAAUCAACUUUUGAUUUAUAUAUCAAUCUUCUAUGAGCGUGGUUAGGAAAAAGGCUGGAAAGCUGUUUUAUUUUGACCUCAACUAAAAAUGCAACUUAUGGUGACAUAAAAAAUGAGUAUUAAUAAAUCUCAAAAAACUACAAUUCCAGAGGUAGGUGUUUGGUUCAUCAGUAGCGCAGCACUUUCCAAAUUCCCAAUCAGCUCUGCUAGGAGCUGCGGGUAAAAUGACACUCUGCACAGAGGGAGCCUUACCCUCAUGCAGUCAAGUGGAGGAGAACGACCUCAAACAACUGAAUGAAGGAAUAAAAUCAUUAAUAAGGAAAAUAAACCUCAUUCGCUAAUUUCAUAUUUGCAGAUUCACCUACUCACUGAAAUGUACUUGUAAUCUCAAAACCGAGACUUGCAGCACUUUUGAGGUCACUUGCACAGAGUGGCAAAAACUUGGAGUCACCCAACACGCGUUUCCAGCUGAGGUCAGUUCUGCUCUUGUGCUAUAAAUGGGAGUCCUUCUUGCAUCUUACCCUGUGCUAUACUUUUUACAUUUUUUGUGCGUUUUGUUGGUGAUUUCGGUUUAAAAAAUGCCCCCUAAGCAUGAUGCUGAGGUGAUGGCUCAUGUUCCUAAGCACAAAAAGACUGUGGUGUUCCUGAAAGAGAAAAUCUAUGUGUUAGCUAAGUUUCCCUGAGGCGUGAGUUCCCGCGUGGUGGGCCGGGAGUUCAGUGUUAAUGAUCUAUAACAAAUGAGGUGCACAGAAAGCAAGGUUCUGUACUGACGGCUUGGCGAAAACGUUGUGACCAGAGGUGGCCAGGACCUGACCCUGUGUUUCCCCUCGAAGUGAGAGUUCUGUAUUCGCUCACUCAGUGUCCGAGGUGACUUUAUAGAACAAACCGCUGUGAAUUACAAGGAUGGAUAUGUAUCAGGAUGAGCGCCAGAAGAGGAGCUACAGAGGUGCCGAGAAUGAUGUGGGUGAGCCUGUUCUUGAGAGAGAAGCCUCUUGGAGGAAUUGACAGUUGAGCUGAGACCCAAAGGUGAAAAGAAGCUGCCGAGCAGGUGGAGAACAUUCCGAGCAGAGGGACCAGUGGGAUCUGGAGGCAGGAAAGCUUCGGCCUCCGUGGGUACCUGAGCCCUGUUGGGACAUGAUGGAGAAACAGGCAGGGGCCAGCUCCAAAGGACCUUGUGGACCUGGCUAAGAAGUUUGGGUUUCAUUCUAAAGGCCUGGAGUAAAGCUGCAAACUGGAAAGAAGCGCAAGCUGCAGCCUGCAGGCGAUGCAGUGGAAAUCAAGUGACUCUUCUCAGUUGGCUGGGUCCUUGUCUGUUCUCAUCACUAGGCUCUAGAGGUCACAGAUUGUCCCUAUUCGCUGUCUUUUCGGGGCCUAGGAUAGAGCCAGGACCAACCACUCUGAGCCCAGGGCAUGGACCACCACAAGCCUACACACACGUGUCUGCUGACGGAAUUCUGCAGGGGUAGGUGUGAAGACACCAUAGUGAGGACUUUUCCUAGAACCAGGACAAAACCAGAAUUCAGGCCUCUGCCUCCCAGGCUGGCUGACAGGCCAAUGGUGGGAAGCUGAGCUCUCAGCUCCAGCAAAGGCAGACCCGCCCUCCCCUGCUCCUCAUCCCCGGGCAGGAGCUGGCAGGAGAUCAGACGCUGCUUCAAUUCCAAGGAGCACACGAACAAAGGCUGUAAAGUUGCUAAGAAACCUGCUUUUGCUGAGGGCUCACCGAGUGUUCUUUUGUUUCUCUGGCGUUGUGUGUGUGAGUGAGAGUGGGUGUGAAGUGCGCCUAGGGCUGUCACCCUGCCAGCCCCAGAUCACGUCAAACUUGAAGGCAAGAGCUGUAUGCUACCGAGCCCCAUGGGGACCCCAGGUAUCGCCAAAAUGGGCAGUGAAGGGGGAACAAAAGAGGAGCCAGCUGCCUGAGGGCAGACGCUGGCAGAGCUGGGAGCAGCUGCAGGAAGGAUGCUUUGGAUGCUGAGUCCUGGACCCAUUUCACCAAAAGCCCAGAAGCCUGAGGGUGGGGGACACCACUAGUCACACCAGGGGAGGGGGGGGUCCCACUCCCAUCCCCCAGCUGAGCUUGGAAAAUAAAUCGUUAACAAGACUCAGGCCAUUGGAGACUACUUGAUGCACGAUCUGUAGAAGUGUAAGGUUCCAGGCAACUAUCUAAUUUGUUGUCUUCUCAUUGCUGUAAGGAGAAUCUGAGGCCUAGGGCGCGGAAGGGACUUUCUCAAGGGCACAUAGCAUAUAAUGGAUGUAGGAGAGCUCACUAUAGGGUCUGCAGCCUGUGAGUAGAGGAAAAAAAGGCUUGGAGUGUACUCUGAAAGUACAUUAUUCAUCCAUGUGUCCAUUCAUCAAAUACUUCCUUCCUUCCUUCCUCUUUCUUUCUUUUCCUGCUUUUUAGGGCUGUACCUGUGGCAUAUGGAAGUUCCCAGGCUAGGGGUUGAAUCAGAGCUAUGCCACAACCACAGCAACUCAGGACCCAAGCUGCAUCUGCAACCUACGCCACAUCUCACAGCAGUGCCAGAUCCUUAACCCACUGAUCAAGGUCAGGGAUUGACUCCGAAUCCUCAUGGAUCCUAGUUGGGUUCGUUAACCGCUGAGCCACACAGGGAACUCCCCAUUCAUCAAACACUUAUUGAGCCCUUACUAAGUGCCAGGAGCCCCAAAUCCCCAACCCCAGCCAAACAGCAAGAAAAGGAGAAUGCAAACCUUUGAGCAAAUUGCCAGAUUCUCUGCAUCUGUUUCCUAGUAAGUGUGCCCACCCCACCGUGGAGCUCCCACUGUGUCUGGACAAGGGCUUUGUUUACCGUGGGCCUUCCUCUUGCUUGCAGCCUUAGGAGGACGAGGAGCUAAAAUGGACAGGAAACAUGAUCUUCCUCCCUGUCUCCCCACCUACUCCAGGGAAGAAGAACCCUUUUCCCUGGUCAGUGACUUGGAGGAGGCACCCAAGGGCUGGCUGUCCUGGAUUUGUUUCUCCCUCUGCAGGCCCUGGGUGCCUCGUAGGUACCCAGCACCUUGAGCAGGUCAUUCCUGGCUCCAGAUGUCAGUGAAGGGCACAACUGACACUCUCACUCUGCCCAGUUUAAAAUCCUUAAAAUCAAGACCAGAGGCCCUGUGGGGUCUGGCUUCAGCCUGCCCUUUCCUUCUCUCCUGCUCUGCUCCAGCCUUGCUGACCUUUCCACCUGCAAGCUUUCCCAGGGGCUUUGCCCAUGCCGCCCUACACCUGGA
rnacentral:lncRNA from 1 species